GGGCCCGCACAAGCGGUGGAGCAUGUGGUUUAAUUUCGACCCAACGCGAAGAACCUUACCUGGGCUUGACAUGCACGGGAUAGCCCCCGAAAAGGGGUUUCUCUUCGGAGUCCGUGUGCAGGUGCUGCAUGGCUGUCGUCAGCUCGUGUCGUGAGAUGUUGGGUUAAGUCCCGCAACGAGCGCAACCCUUACCUUUAGUUGCCAGCGGGUUAUGCCGGGAACUCUAGAGGGACUGCCGGUGACAAACCGGAGGAAGGUGGGGAUGACGUCAAGUCCUCAUGGCCUUUAUGCCCAGGGCUACACACGUGCUACAAUGGCCGGUACAAAGAGUCGCAAGACCGCGAGGUGGAGCUAAUCUCAUAAAGCCGGUCUCAGUUCGGAUUGGAGUCUGCAACUCGACUCCAUGAAGUUGGAAUCGCUAGUAAUCGUGGAUCAGCAUGCCACGGUGAAUACGUUCCCGGGCCUUGUACACACCGCCCGUCACACCACGAAAGCCGACUGUACCAGAAGUCA
rnacentral:rRNA from 1 species